UAUUGGAUCCAGACUUUGAUCAUGGCUCAGGAUGAACGCUAGCUACAGGCUUAACACAUGCAAGUCGAGGGGAAACGAUAGAGAAAGCUUGCUUUUUCUAGGCGUCGACCGGCGCACGGGUGAGUAACGCGUAUCCAACCUGCCCACCACUUGGGAAUAACCUUGCGAAAGUAAGACUAAUACCCAAUGAUAUCUCUAGAAGACAUCUGAAGGAGAUUAAAGAUUUAUCGGUGAUGGAUGGGGAUGCGUCUGAUUAGCUUGUUGGCGGGGUAACGGCCCACCAAGGCUACGAUCAGUAGGGGUUCUGAGAGGAAGGUCCCCCACAUUGGAACUGAGACACGGUCCAAACUCCUACGGGAGGCAGCAGUGAGGAAUAUUGGUCAAUGGGCGAGAGCCUGAACCAGCCAAGUAGCGUGCAGGAUGACGGCCCUAUGGGUUGUAAACUGCUUUUAUAAGGGAAUAAAGUGAGCCUCGUGAGGCUUUUUGCAUGUACCUUAUGAAUAAGGACCGGCUAAUUCCGUGCCAGCAGCCGCGGUAAUACGGAAGGUCCGGGCGUUAUCCGGAUUUAUUGGGUUUAAAGGGAGCGUAGGCCGGAGAUUAAGCGUGUUGUGAAAUGUAGAUGCUCAACAUCUGCACUGCAGCGCGAACUGGUUUCCUUGAGUACGCACAAAGUGGGCGGAAUUCGUGGCGUAGCGGUGAAAUGCUUAGAUAUCACGAAGAACUCCGAUUGCGAAGGCAGCUCACUGGAGCGCAACUGACGCUGAAGCUCGAAAGUGCGGGUAUCGAACAGGAUUAGAUACCCUGGUAGUCCGCACGGUAAACGAUGGAUGCCCGCUGUUGGUCUGAAUAGGUCAGCGGCCAAGCGAAAGCAUUAAGCAUCCCACCUGGGGAGUACGCCGGCAACGGUGCAACUCAAAUGAAUUGACGGA
rnacentral:rRNA from 1 species